CGUAGGCGGCGCGGUAAGUCGGGUGUGAAAUCUCGGGGCUUAACUCCGAAACUGCAUUCGAUACUGCCGUGCUUGAGGACUGGAGAGGAGACUGGAAUUUACGGUGUAGCGGUGAAAUGCGUAGAUAUCGUAAGGAAGACCAGUGGCGAAGGCGGGUCUCUGGACAGUUCCUGACGCUGAGGCACGAAGGCCAGGGGAGCAAACG
rnacentral:rRNA from 1 species